GCCUCUAUGGUCUAGUGGUACGAUACUCCGUUUGGGCUUGUCCAGUCACACUGGCAAAGCGAUUCGGAGUGGUCCUGAGUUCGAUCCUCAGUGGAGGCC